GUGAGGAAUAUUGGUCAAUGGGCGCGAGCCUGAACCAGCCAAGUCGCGUGAGGGAGGACGGCCCUACGGGUUGUAAACCUCUUUUGCCGGGGAGCAACGGGCGUCACGUGUGGCGCCACUGAGAGUACCCGGAGAAAAAGCAUCGGCUAACUCCGUGCCAGCAGCCGCGGUAAUACGGAGGAUGCGAGCGUUAUCCGGAUUUAUUGGGUUUAAAGGGUGCGUAGGCGGAUCGUUAAGUCAGUGGUCAAAUUGAGGGGCUCAACCCCUUCCCGCCAUUGAAACUGGCGAUCUUGAGUGGAAGAGAAGUAUGCGGAAUGCGUGGUGUAGCGGUGAAAUGCAUAGAUAUCACGCAGAACCCCGAUUGCGAAGGCAGCAUGCCGGCUUCCGACUGACGCUGAAGCACGAAAGCGUGGGGAUCGAACAGG
rnacentral:rRNA from 1 species